rnacentral:rRNA from 1 species
AAUAGAUACCCUGGUAGUCCACGCCGUAAACGAUGGAUACUAGCUGUUGGGGGUAUCGACCCCCCCAGUAGCGAAGCUAACGCGUUAAGUAUCCCGCCUGUGGAGUACGGUCGCAAGACUAAAACAUAAAGGAAUUGACGGGGACCCGCACAAGCGGUGGAUCAUGUUCUUUAAUUCGAUGAUAAACGAAGAACCUUACCAGGGUUUGACAUCCCGAGAAUUACUCCGAAAGGAGUGAGUGCUUUAUUGAACUCGGUGACAGGUGAUGCAUGGCCGUCGUCAGCUCGUGUCGUGAGAUGUUGGGUUAAGUCCCGCAACGAGCGCAACCCUUGUCCUUAGUUGCCAGCACGUAAUGGUGGGAACUCUAAGGAGACCGCCGGUGACAAACCGGAGGAAGGUGGGGAUGACGUCAAGUCAUCAUGGCCCUUACGGCCAGGGCUACACACGUACUACAAUGGGAAGGACAGAGGGCUGCAAUCCCGGCGAGGGGGAGCCAAGUCCCAGAAACCUUCUCUCAGUCCGGAUCGGAGUCUGCAACUCGACUCCGUGAAGUCGGUAAC